GACGAACGCUGGCGGCGUGCUUAACACAUGCAAGUCGAACGGAAAGGCCCUGCUUUUGUGGGGUGCUCGAGUGGCGAACGGGUGAGUAACACGUGAGUAACCUGCCCUUGACUUUGGGAUAACUUCAGGAAACUGGGGCUAAUACCGGAUAGGAGCUCCUGCUGCAUGGUGGGGGUUGGAAAGUUUCGGCGGUUGGGGAUGGACUCGCGGCUUAUCAGCUUGUUGGUGGGGUAGUGGCUUACCAAGGCUUUGACGGGUAGCCGGCCUGAGAGGGUGACCGGCGACAUUGGGACUGAGAUACGGCACAGACUACUACGGGAGGCAGCAGUGGGGAAUAUUGCAGAAUGGGCGGAAGCCUGAUGCAGCAAAGCCGCGUGCGGGAUGACGGCCUUCGGGUUGUAAACCGCUUUCGCCUGUGACGAAGCGUGAGUGACGGUAAUGGGUAAAGAAGCACCGGCUAACUACGUG
rnacentral:rRNA from 1 species